rnacentral:piRNA from 1 species
UAGUGGCCUGUGAUUUGAAAGUCACUCU